UACGUAGGGUGCAAGCGUUAUCCGGAAUUAUUGGGCGUAAAGAGCUCGUAGGCGGUUUGUCGCGUCUGCUGUGAAAACUGGAGGCUCAACCUCCAGCCUGCAGUGGGUACGGGCAGACUAGAGUGCGGUAGGGGAGAUUGGAAUUCCUGGUGUAGCGGUGGAAUGCGCAGAUAUCAGGAGGAACACCAAUGGCGAAGGCAGAUCUCUGGGCCGUAACUGACGCUGAGGCGCGAAAGCUAGGGGAGCAAACAGG
rnacentral:rRNA from 1 species